CCUAAAGCAGGACCUUGGAGGAUAGCCAUAGCACACAUGGAGCAGAAAUCCUUUCGUUCUAAGCUGUUUAAGGGCUUAAAGAACCAGCUCCUUGAAUUGGGCCUGGAAACAAACAGGCAGCCAGUGCAAACGGGAAUAAUAGGUUCUCAAACAACAAGAUGGAGAAUUGAGGUCAAAGGAUAACAGCUUGCCCAAAGUGGCUGAAGAGCAAUAAGAUGAGACUUUAAUUCUGAACUUCAUAUUUGAAUUUUGAAACUCAAGAUUUGGUUUUGAAGUUUAAUAUUUUAAUUUAGUCUUUGGAGUGAA